rnacentral:tRNA from 1 species
AUCUGGAUAGCUCAGUGGUCUAGAGCAGUUGCCCGGAAAGCGAAAGACUCGCGGGUUCGAAUCUCGAUCCAGCCA